UCUUCGGACUCUGGGGUGGUCGCGAAGAUCCCGGACGAGCCCCCAAAUGAAAGAUCCCCGAAGAGAGACCCUUUCUAAAGUCGCAGGAAAUCGCGGACCCCAGACACAGAGAGACCA
rnacentral:pre_miRNA from 14 species